rnacentral:rRNA from 1 species
GAUGAACGCUGGCGGCGUGCUUAACACAUGCAAGUCGAACGAUGAACCGGGUGCUUGCACUCGGGGAUUAGUGGCGAACGGGUGAGUAACACGUGAGCAACCUGCCCCUGACUCUGGGAUAGGCGCUGGAAACGGCGUCUAAUACUGGAUAUGUCCCGUCACCGCAUGGUGUGCGGGUGGAAAGAUUUUUCGGUUGGGGAUGGGCUCGCGGCCUACCAGCUUGUUGGUGAGGUAAUGGCUCACCAAGGCGUCGACGCGUAGCCGGCCUGAGCGGGGGACCGGCCACGCUAGGACUGGGACGCGGCCCAGACUCCUACGGGAGGCAGCGGUGGGGAAUAUUGCACAAUGGGCGGAAGCCUGAUGCAGCAACGCCGCGUGAGGGAUGCCGGCCUUCGGGUUGUAAACCUCUUUUAGCAGGGAAGAAGCGAGAGUGACGGUACCUGCAGAAAAAGCACCGGCUAACUACGUGCCAGCCGCCGCCGUAA